rnacentral:lncRNA from 1 species
AAGGAGUAUUCCCAAAAUAUACCCUCCCUAAGUAGCCUAUGUAGGCUAUUUUAUUCUGAAAAGGACACAGAAUCAGAUUUUUAGAACCCUAAAAAGUAUUUUAAAAGUUUCAGCUACUUUUUCAUUGAGAAGGGGUUUCAUUUCUUUUUCUAAGUUCCACAUAAAUCAGAAUAAAUUUUCUUUUAAAGAUUCUGGGCUUUUGGGUUGCAAGAGGGUUUGAAUUUGAAGCUGUGAUACUGCUGGUUAUUGGCUACUGUUCCAUUGACUGCUUGUCUCGGUUUUCUUUGCUGUUUUCUCUGAAGAUUCACAGCUUUGUUUCUAUUCUUUGUAACCAAGGUAUACUUUGAUCCUUGAAUCAUGAAUGAAAGCUUGUUUUGAAGAGUGUACUGCUGCCAUGGAGUUUCAGAGUUCAUGUUUACAUUUUGUUUCUGUCUGAUGUUUUCUUUUAAUUCAUUCGAUUACUGUUUUUUUUUUGCCUUCUUCUUAUUAGCUUCUGUUAGCUACAUUAAAGUUUUUUUGUGUGGUUUCAUGAAAUAACUAGGAUGUUUAGUAUUGAAGGUUUGAAUAGCACCUCUUGCAUAUGCUAUGUUUUAGGCUAAGUAGUCUAGUUUAAAAGAAAAUGUUAACUUUCACUCUUUUGUACUGCUCAUAUGAUUCUGUCUAGUGUUUUAAAUUUAAUGUUUGGUAAUAUAUGAGAUUUUCAUGUUUAAGUAUUUGGAUAAGUACUGAGUAUGGUCAAAAUAGACCAUGAUUGAUGCUUGAGAACAUUUGGUUAAAGUAUUUUAGUAUUACUACAGUGUGUAAAAUAAUUGUAUGUUCCUGUUGCUUCAUGAAUAACUAUUGCAGUGUUUUAGCAUUUCCAUAGUGUUCAAAAGAAUUAUGCAUAUUAAAAAAUGCAGUGUUCGGCUGUUAAGUAUGUUCAGUUUUUUACUAGUGCCAAUUCCAGCAUUUUAAAGUGACUAUUUACUUAGGUUUUCUUUUUUUUUUUUUAAAAGAAAAGAAAAAUAAUUUAGGAACGAUUUAAAGAUUCUGUUUUUUAGCUAUUACUAAAUGUAUGAUAAAUAGUUUAGUUAGGCACUUCAUCUAUAAUUUGUGCAAACAUGACUAUACAUGAACUGUGAUGAGUUAAGUUAUAGCAGGCUUUGGGUGUUUGAGGUGUUGACUUCUUUGGGCCUGGCGAUGGCCCAAACAAGGCUGCUAGGCAGAAAGCAGGUUUUCCAUUGUUUCCAUCUUUCUUUCUUUUUUUGAUCUGCUAGGCAAUCGCCUAGGGCUAAUUUUUAUAACUAAUAAAAUCAUAAAUAAAAUACAUUGUCAGGGGGUCUAACAUAAUGAAAUAGAUAAACUUUGACGGUUACAUGAAACCUAUUAUCAAUAUUGAGUUUGAAAGUCAACAUUGAUAUUACAUUAGAUCUAGCAUUAGCCAAGUGUUUAAAAUGUAGUCGUGCAUAGUGAGCGUCCCAUGAUAGGGUGUAUUUUGACUUUGUUAAAUUUAUGGAAAAUAUAUCCAAAGUCCAGUAUUCAGUCCAGAUUUUCUUUAACUGCAUCUUGUACCUGUCGCUGCACUCGCAAUAAUAGCGUAACUCAUUGUGUAUUUGUGUGAACCUUUGAUUGCCAUAAAAGUGUAUGUCUUGUUCCAUUAUUGACUGCAUAUUACCCAUUGUGUCUCAAAUUCUUCCUGCAUCGAAGGUUGCCAUGUUGAUUCCCUCUUGAAGAACUGUUCAUCUGUUUGAAUAGCAUUGUUGCUCCAUCCAAGCCUUUUUGCUAUUAAAGAAAGCAUAUUACAGAUGAUUUUUGCGUAGGCGUGCGUUAGCUUGAGAUGCUCAUAAUGAUUCCUUACUGUGUAAAAUUUCCAGCACCUCGAAAAUGCAAUAAGUUUUCCUUUUUUUAGUCUUCCAUGGGUAAUUGUAAUGGCCCAUGCUUUGUCCAAAAAUUUAGGUGUGUAGAAAACACUACCCAAUGUUCCUUUAUUUAAAGUCCCAAAUCUCAUGAAUCCUUUGUGGCCCCAUGUUCUUGGCAUGUGCAACCAUGCUUCUAAGCUUUUUACACCUAUCGAGUACUUAUCCUCUGUCCCCUCCCUUUGUUUAACACACUUUCAGUCGAGAGAGUGCAUUGGAUUUAUGUAGGUUGUUGCGUUUGAAAAGUUCUUUAUGAUGAACUUUAAUAAAGCUUCAUUAUUUCCAGACACAACCUGUUGCCAGAACCAUGCGAUGCACUUUGUAUCCUUAUAUUGUAUUCCUAAAGACUGGUUCCCUGCAUAUGCAUUUUGUUUCCUGUUGUAUAUUGAAGAUAUACACCUACUGGUCACUUCUGCAACAUUAUGGAUGUUGGGUACAUCAGUGAUUCUGCUACAUUUGACCUCGAUGUCAUGUGUCCAUCCUUUGUGUGUUGUUGAGUUCCCUACACUAUUGGAUACUUCAUGUGCUCGACUAUGAUGCUGCAUUGAUGAUUUCUUCCUCUUAGCCUUCUGUUUUUCUUUAAUGGAUUGUCAUUUCAAAUAAUUGAUUUUCCUCAAGCUUAUGCAUGUCACCUUUCCUCCUUCAAGGGAUUAAGCACAAAGUACUAAUACCACCCAUAGAAGUCGUAUUAAUUGACAUGUCUUGAGCACAAUAUAGAUUCCUGCAAAAAAGAACCCAAGGUUAGUAAAAUAACAUUUGUCGACUUCCUUUCCUCCCCUAGGAUUUGAAAUCAUCCCCUUUGACCUUGUGUUAACCUCUCAUUCUACUGCCUCGAAGCCUUUACUCUCAGAAAUGGACAUUGCAUUUUGUCUCCAUUAACUAGUCUUCUGCCUUGUGUAUCCAGAUGAUCGAAAGAGUGGCAUUCUAUGACUCCUUGAUCAAGAGCAUAGUUUGCCAAAUGAUCAGCUAGCUUGUUCCCCUCUCUGGAAAUAUGUGUUAUCCUGCCAUUGUACAACAUUAGCAUCUUCCUUAUCUCUUUCACUUCCUCCUCAAUAACCUAUGGUGGUUUCCACUCCCCUGUGAUGACCUUCUUGAGCAGCAUAGAAUUAGUUUCUACCCAUAUGUUAUUCAUCUCAUUAGUCAAACAAUGUUUCAGGGCCUCUAACAUUGCCCUUGUUUCUGCUUGAGUGUUUGUCACCUCUUCAAUUUCUUUUCCACACGCAUAGAGCAGAUAUCCUUCCUCAUUCCUCAAGCAAAAGCCAAUUAAACUCCUACCUGGAUUACCUCUCGAGGCCCCAUCAAUGUUAAUUUUUGUCCAACCUGUCAUAGGGAGUUCCUAUAAAACCUUGUAGAACUUCAGUUUGAGAGUGUAGUUCUCCAUCAUUCUAAGUAUAUCAGGCCAUGUGAAUGGUACUCGAUCAAUGCCUGGCUUCCUUAGUUUAAUAAGAGAUUGAAUAGUAUUGCAGACUUGGUAUACCACUCGAUUGGUUGACACUACCUCACCAUGCUUAUUGUUGUUCCUCCUUUUCCAUAGUUCCCACACAAUUAUACCUGGCAGUGCUUGGAAUAUUGGUUUGAGUCUCGGAAUUACCUUUGUUGUCCAGCAUUUCACAAUAGCCUGAUGCAGGUUUAAGCCCUCAAGAGAUAAUCUAACAUGAGAAUAGAAGUAAGACCAAACCUUUAAGGCCGUGAGUGAUCGAUAGAAAGCAUGGCUUAAAGUCUCUUCGUUUGGCAUUACACAACACCAACAUUUAGAUGGCAUGUAGUAUCCCAUCUUUCUAAUUACAUCAUCAAGUGGUAGCUUACCUUUCUACAGUUUUCACAUAAAAAAUGAGAUCUUAAAAGGCAAUCCUUUAACCCACAUGUUGUCGUAUGUAAUAGCUGGAUCUUUCCUUCUCCUCAAAUAUUCCCAAGCUGACUUAACCGUGAAUUGACCUCUUGUUUCCAAACACCAAAUAGGUUUGUCCAGUUCAUCAUUCAUCGAUAGAGCUUGUAUGGUGUGCAUAAUGUGCAUAGCUAAGUCACCUGGCAAUAUUUCUCUAAUUUUAUGUUCAUCCCACUGCCCUUCCACAACAACAUCAUUCACAUUAUGGAUUGUUUUAUCAACUAUAAACUCCGGGGGUAUUACAAAGUAAAGGGCCCCCAAGCCUGUCCAAUUGUCAAACCAAAAUAGGGAAGAUCCCAUUUUUAGUUUCCAGAAAAUCAGAUGUUCAGUAGAGUCUCUGCAUUCCAACAUUUUUCUCCAAAUGUGUGAUCCACCUCUCCAAGGCACAACAGUUGCAUGCAUAUUCUUCAAAUAUUUUUGACUCAUAAAAGAGCUCCAUAAAGAUGGCUUAGUCCUGAAGUUCCACCAUAGCUUGCAAAAGAGAGCAUUUGACAUAUCAUUUAAGGAUCGAAAUCCCACUCCUCCUUCAUGUUUAGGUAAGCAUAAAGUAUCCCAAGAUACCCAAUGUCUAGCUCUACCAUCAAUAGAAUUGCUCCAGUAGAAUCUCGCAAACAAAUUAUGCAGUUUGUUUAAAACAUAGGCCGGUGGAUUUACUGCAGAAAGUAGAUGAAUUGGCAUGGUUUGCAACACACUGCUGAUUAGUACUGCCCUUCCUCCGAUAGAUAAUAGUUUCCCUUUCCACGCUUGAAGUUUAUCCAGCACUUUUGAUAUCAAAUCUUCAUAAUACUCCAUUUUUCUCUUUUUGUAAAAAAUAGGACAACCCAAAUAGAUGAAUGGGAAAUCCUUUCUCUGUAUACUAGUUAUUCCUUCAAUCUUCCUACCAACUUCAUCGCUUGUAGAAUGGUGAACAUAAACUACAGAUUUUGCCUUGUUGAUUAGUUGUCCAGAUGCUGCUUUGUAAGCAUUUAGAACUUCCAUAAUCAAUCUUAAAGAAGUAUCAUCUGAUGAUGAGAAAAUGAUUGCAUCAUCUGCAUAAGCAAGAUGGUUGAUCUUAGGGCUCCACUUCGACAUUUCAAAUCCACAAAAGUAUAGAUUAUGAUGUAAAACAUUUAGACCCCUUGACAUUGCCUCUGCAGCCAGUAUAAACAGUGUAGGUGACAGAGGGUCACCCUGCUUCACCCCUCUGGUUGACUUGAAAAAACCAUGUGGUUGGCCAUUAACUAGAACUGAAUACCAAUUGUUUGAUACAAUCCCAAAAAUCAAUCCAAUAAACCAUUUAGAGAAUCCCAUUUUCCUCAAGAUCUUUGUUAGAAAAAUCCAGGAGAGUCGAUCAUAUGCCUUCAUCAUGUCCAAUUUUAGAACUAUAUUAGGGCCUGCCUUUGUCCUCAAUCUAAUGUCAGUGAUUAUUUCUUGAGUGAGUAAUACAUUCUCAGCAAUACUUCUACCUUUUACAAACCCUGAUUGCUCAUCAGAUAUAAUAUUAGGAAUUAUAUCCACUAUCCUCUCAUGAAUAACCCUCGAUAUGAUUUUGUUAGAGAAAUUACUCAAGCUAAUUGGCCUUAAAUCCGAGAAGUUCUGGACAUCCUUCUUCUUAGGUAGUAGGAUCAAAUUUGUAUGAGUCACAAAUUUGGGUAGAUCCUUCCCACAAAAAAAAUCCUGCACCAUGUCUACUAUGUCUCCCCCAAUGAUUUUCCAACAAGCAUGAAAGAAAUUACCAUUGAAUCCAUCAGGUCCCCAUGCACUGUCCCCGUUCAAACCAAAUACAACCUUUUUCACUUCCUCAAUUGUUGGUUUCAUUGUAAGAUCACAGUUUUGCACUUCAUUUAACAUUACUGGGACAUGAUCCAAUAUCCUAAAGUCAGUAGGAAUUGUGGAUUCAUGAAACUGCUGCUAGAAGAAAAGAACAGCUUCAUCUGCAAUAGCUGAUGGAUCUUCCAACCAAUUCCCAUUGAUGUAUUGUAUUCUUUUCAGCGGUAGCUUCCUUCUUUUGCCAUUAACAUGAGCAUGAAACAAUUUAGUAUUUCUAUCUCCAUCUUUGAACCAAGCCAUACCUGCUUUUUGUUUUCAAAAUUCUUCUUCCAAAUCCCACACUCGAAUAAAAUCUGCCAGCACCCUUUGGAGCCUUUCACGAUUUUGUAUAGUUGGAUUCAGUUCAAAUUGUAUCUCAUGUACCUUCACCACUUCCUCCAAGCUAGAUAUCCUUUGAAAUAUAUCACCAAACAUGGACUUGCUCCAUGUAGAAAGAGCUUUCUUCAGUUCUUCAUCUUGUGGUUAAAAAGUAUGAAAGGACUUGCAUGGAAGUCUGUCUGCCAAUGCUCCUUAACUACAUCUAAGAAUGUCUCAUGUUUGAUCCAGAAAUUUAAGAAUCUAAAUGCUUUUUUUAUCUGACCAGUACUAGGAUUAUAUGUGAGAUGCAUUGGGCUAUGGUCUGAGCCAAUCUUAGAUAUGUGAUUUAUCUCCAAGACUGGCCAAAGUUGUUGAAGCUCCAUGUUGCCUAAACAUCUGUCUAGCCUUUUGAAUAUGCAAUCUUCCUCAGCUCUCCCAUUCCACCAUGUGAAUAUGCUUCCUUUGAAGCCAAGAUCAAAAAGGUUGCAUGUGGUUAUACAAUGUCUAAAAUCAUCAAUCUCAUUUAUAUGAACUGGGAGGCCCCCAAAUUUCUCUUCUUCAUCCCAUAUCACAUUAAAAUCUCCACCCAUAAGCCAGGGUAAAACCAUAUCAGUAGCCAAGGAAUACAAAGUGUCCCACAACUCAAUUCUUUCUCUUGCAUCACAUUUAGCAUAGACCAUGGUAAUAAUGAACUCUGUAUGGUCAUCAGUGUUGGUCAUCUUUAAAGUAAUUUGCUGCUCCAUGUUAAAAAUAAUGUCAAAAUCAUAUUUUUGAUCUAUGAAGAUCCAUACUUUGUUUGAAACAUUCACAACCACCUGCUCAAAACCCAGCCUUCUUCUAUAUUGCUCAACUGUUCUAGUCUGUUGCAUUGGUUCCAUCAAAGCAAUAAAAUCGAAUUGAUGCUGUCUAUCCAAUGUUAUUACCCUUUCAAAUGCUUGCAUUGUGUUAACUGACCUUAUAUUCCAAAUUAGAGCAUUCAUCAUCAAUUGAUUGAUUUGGAUAGAGUUCUCCUUGUUUGGACUCCUGGAAUAUGCACCCCAGUAUUCUCUCUUGGUUGUUUUUCUUCCCUCUUCCUGCUGAUUUACCUUUCUCCAUCUUUCUAGGUGAGAUAUCAUCUUGUCUAGCAACAUUUAUGAAGUUCUGUGUAUUAUAUUCUGCAUCUGUAUCUCUUCCUUUUGCCCUUUGUGUCUGGUCCUCUUCUUCAUAAUUUUCUUGAUUGAUUAACUGAUUCCUGGUAGUUUUAGGAACCACACUCUUAGCACUGGUUUUCAUCGUGACCAUUUCCUUUGUAGUUGAUGGAUUAGGGCAUGUUAUUGCUUCUUGCAUUUGAGUUAAGGUAGCCCCAUCACCUACAUUAGUAUUGCCUAAGAACUGCUACAAUUAUAAUUCCACUUUCUUCUGAGUUCCUUCCAUUUGCUGUUGUCUUGCUUCUUCCUUUUUUUUAUUUGGAUCUCCUAGAUCAUCUGUAUCCCCUGCUUUAAAGGUUUGGACUGUAGGUUCAUGUGUCUCAAUAGUGCCAGAGAAAUUUGGUUCAGGAUUGGAUGGUGGUAUUGUGAUUUUAAGAGGCUGUUCAGUUUGGAAAGGUUGGUCAGCUGUAGUAUUAGCAUUGUUACUUUCUUCUACUCUUAGUAUUUCAAUUCUGCUAUUUUUUCCAUUGACACUUUGUUGUUCCACAUCUGGAUCUUUGCUUUGUAUUUCUUCCACAUCCUCAUGUCCUUCUAGGAACUCCCCUUCGUCUGAUUCCUCUUCACGUUGUUGCUGCCAUAGUUUACCUCUCGAAAAAUUGACACGAUCCUUAAGACUUUCAUGCUCAGGAAUUAUGCUUGUAUAUAGUGAUUGAGAGGGGGUUUCUUGGCAUGACUGAUUUGUAGUAACCUUAGACAUUGGGAAGGUUCUAUUUACCCAUUGAGAAGUAUUCUUCUUACCUAUUUCUACACCUGCUUUAGUUUCAUCCCUUUCCCCAUUAGGAUGCCCAACAUGAAUUCUCUUUGAUGAUGCCACUUCAUUAGACAUAGGAGUAUAAAUUGCUGCAUCUGAAUCCAAGGGCUUCUGAAUAGGUGUGGUCUCCAUAUCAGCUCCUUCAACAAUAACAAAUUGAUUUCCUGCUGUACUUUCAUGUUCUGCUUGUAGAGCUGCAAAUUUGUUUGUUGUUUGAAGUUGUUUGGCUGUAUUAAAUUGAGAAAAUUGCCUCCUUCCAUUACCAAUGUUCUGUUGGUUAUUAUCAUUAGCUGUCAUGAUUUCCUUUGAUAAAUUAACAUUAUUUUGAGGAUUACCAGAUCCUAGCAGCUGCUGCCCGUUAGCUUGUUCAACAGGAACAAUUUCUUUCCCUGUAACCACACGAUUUCCAUUCUUCUUCACUCGAUUGUCUCUUAAUUCCUUCCAUUGUUCCCCAGGUGGAUUCACAUUACCUACAACUCUCUCACUUGAUAAGAUCAUCAAUUGUUGAUUAUGAUGCAGUUGAGUCUGCUCCUUGUUAUUUUCAGCAUUCUGCUUGCUUUGAUAAGGUGAUAAUUCCGGAUGAGAUAUCCAGCAUUCAAAAUAAUCAUGGCCUUGUAAUCUGCAUUCCUUACAAUACUUAGGAAUCAUAUCAUACUUAAUGUUUACCCAUUCAGUCCUUGUUACACCUGUUGCCUCAUUAACAAUGUCCAUUCUUACAUUUUUAGGAUGAUCAGCUAAUAAAUCGACAAGAACUUUUACCCUCGUAUAUCUAGGUCGAGUCUUAUUUAUAGUAGCCAUAUCCAAAUGUAAAGAUUUCCCAACAGCUGAAGCAAGAGAAAACAUACACUCCUUCACAAAGUAUGUAUGUAACAGACCUGGAAAAGAUAUCCAAGCCAUAGCCAUUGGAGUCUCUUCUCCUACCUUAAACUUCACAUCAUAAAUGAGAGGUCGAAUUUUGUAUUCAUUGCCGUUCUUGUCCUUGACUUAUUGAGCUCCUUUCGACGUAAAAUCAACAAAAUCCUUCCACAAGGUCAUACGUAUAAGGACAUAUCUGUCUCUCAACAAACCAAUACUACAUUCUCCCUUUAAUCCAUAUUGAGAGGGAACAAUGAGACGAAUCUCAUUUAAAUCUGGCUAGCCAUAUGCAAACUUUCCCACCACAGCAUAUUGGAGAUCCUCGAUCACGUUCAUUCUCUCAACUUCUGCCUCCGUAAAUCUAACAACUGGUUGUCCAUUCAAGAUUGCUGCUUGUCGCUCUGGGAUAGGAUCAACAGGACAUUGUUUGACGAUUUCCAUCUUUCUUUGCCUUUACAUUUGGGCUCAAUUUUGGGCCCAGUUGGCAUCAACAUUUUUAUUCUGCUCUUAAUAAUGUAACGGGCCUAAUACAGGCCCAAUGUCUUUCAAAUAACUAAAGACUUCCUUUAUAUGGCCAUACCUAUAGUCAAUAGCCUUGCAUUGAAUUUCAAGAUUAGUUUUAAAGAAAUGAAAACCAUAGUGUGCUUCAAAUUAAAUGCAAGUCUUUAAAAAUAAAUUGAGGUGUGAUAACUGUGAUUUCUACAUGUUUUAUACCCAUUCUUACCUGAGCUUUGUGCAUUAAUUGCCAUAUAUUAGCCCCAAAAUGGUUACAAAUUACACUUGAUUGUAGGUUUGAGCGACAAGAUGAUAAAUAUCAGAGAUCGACUCAAAAAGGAGUGAAAUCUGCCAAGUGUCAAAAGACAACUGAAGUGGGGAACAAGAUGACCUGCGCGGACCGCACUGAUUUGGUGCGCGGCCGCGCAGGAGAGUUCAGAGACCUUGCAAGUUUGAAGUCAAGCCACGCGGUCCGCAAUCAAUUCCACGCGGUCCGCACUGAGGGAAGUUCAGAGACCCAGAAAAUCAAGGCAAAAGCCCACGCGGCAGCACAUCAAAUCAGUGCGGUCCGCAUGGGUAAAAGUCCAGAGAGUUGAGUUUGGGGCAAAAGUCUACCACGUGGCCGCAUCCCAUUUUUACGCGGUCCGCGCAUCUUAGCCUAUGCGGCCGCGUGACAUAUCUAUGCGGUCCGCAUCCCUCAGUUCCAGAAGCAAGACUUGAAGACUUAUUGCCCUCCGCGGCUGCGUGACAUUUGUACGCGGUCCGCGCCAGACCCUCAGGGGUAUUUUUGUCCUGUUUUUCCUGUGUAGCAUAAAUAGAACAUUUUACUUUUUAGCAAUAGUUUUUUAGAUCUAUUUUGAGAGCAUAGAGCAGCUGAACUCGGGAUUUCAUGAUUUUAGCCUAUUUUGGGCAAUUUCUUCUAGUAUUAACGUGGAUUUGAGUAGAUUAACAUUGUAGUUAUUUGUUAUGUCAAUUUCAUCUAUUAUUUCUUCAA